rnacentral:rRNA from 1 species
UACGUAGGGGACCAGCGUUGUCCGGAUUUACUGGGCGUAAAGAGCGCGCAGGCGGUCGUUCAAGUCGAGUGUGAAAGCCCCCGGCUCAACUGGGGAGGGUCAUUCGAUACUGAUCGACUUGAAGGCAGGAGAGGGAAGUGGAAUUCCCGGUGUAGUGGUGAAAUGCGUAGAUAUCAAGUGGAACACCAGUGGCGAAGGCGAGUCUCUGGACAUUUCCUGACGCUGAGGCACGAAAGCCAGGGGAGCAAACGGG